CUCCUCUGGAGUUUUACAGUGAGCCCAGGAUGCAGUUUUCAUUUUAGGUGCCACCCUCUGUAUCAAAGCAAUUCAGAUUGAAGUCUGAGAAGAUUGACUUGAAAGGCUUUGAGAUGCCUCAAAAAUAGUGUUCAUAGGUGAUUUCUGAAGGUGAAGUACUCCGAUGUAAAAGCCCAUACAGCCUUAAGAAUUCAUCUGGGGAUACAGUUGACUGAGAAUGCUGUGAUUUAAUCUAGAGACCUAUGUUAAGGUCGAGAGCAUUAGUAGGUAAGUAUAAUCAUUUUCUACCUCAGCUGUUUAACUGGAUGACCCUGUUUAUCUGUGUAGUGUAACCAGUGGUCACUGCAACCAAUUAUGGUGAUAUUGUUUAUUUCAUUAUUUCAAAAUAACAUCUAACCAAGGCAGCAAUUUUGUAAUUCCUUCUGGCAUAUUUGUCUUGCUUCCAUUAAAACUAUUACCUUUCAUUUUAUGUUUCUCUACUGUAAUUAUCCUUUUUUUUUUUUUAACUUUUGACCUUUGCAAGAACUAAUUUUUAAUAUAAUUUCUUCUUUUUUAAAAAUUGUGAAUCUUCCUGAUCAGUAUCUGGCACACCUCACUCACUCCAGAAAUAAAGCAGUCAAGGCUUCUAUUAAGUUUCAGUUACAUGGUGUUUGGCAAUGAUAAUGUAACUUUUAGCUGGAAGAUCCCUCUCUCUCUCUUUCAGUUCGCAUUCAAAAUCAGUGGCACUUAGCAAACAGGCUUCCCUCAGUGUAGAAUUGGGUGGUAAUUCCAGUCCCACUGGAGUAAAGCAACUAGAUUAUGCUGGAGUGAUACACAUAAACUCUAAAAAUCCCCAAAAUAACCUAUAUGUUUCAUGAAUAUGUUAAAGAAAACAAUGCAAUAGCUGCCUUAUCUGUGGCUCCCUUAUUUAUUUUUAAUGCUGAUUUUGUUUCUCUAGCUCCCUAGAAAAUCCUUUUGAGGCUCUUUGCAUUACAAAUAAAUGGCUAUUUUGGGUGUAAUCUCCCAGGGCCUUUCUGGAGAGGGGAGAGGUUCUGGUGGCAUUAACUAUGUCUGGUGGCAUUAAGAAGAGAUUUAGCCAAGGAAAUAAUACUUGAGUAGAAUGAUAAUCGCUGACCACACACAAUUUCUGUUGACUUGAUUUGUAGUUGUGUGUGCUCAGGAUCUCUUGUGGUUUAAAAUCCAGUGUGCUACAUGAUGAUCCAAGAACUUAGUUCAAUCACUGGAAAAAGGCAGUUCACCAACAAAGGUCUUACUUUGGUUUAUGUUUGUCACUCAAGAAAGCAUUAUUUUGGCUUACUCUGUGUGUGUGUGUGGUUAUCAUUAUUAUUCUUUUUAAACUGCUGUAUUUAUUUAUACUAGUAAAAACCUAGCAUAGGAAGAGAUCCAAAUAGAUACUGUGUUUAACACAAUUUAGGCAAUGUAUGUAGGGAUUAGAUGCACAUACCUAUACACAGCUAUAUGUGACUAUAUGUACAGGGAAUUAGAAUUAUUCUUACAAAGACAAACCAAAGUACUGAAAUGUUAGAGUGAAGUCACCUUCUCUUGGAAGCUUGUGAGAACAUUGUUAUGGUAUGGUUCAGUUUUCAGGGAAAAAUUUGGUUGUUGUCUGUCCUAUGAUAGGGAGUCACUUCUAAAUUGUGAGUCAUUCAAGAGACUGCUACAUCAGCCUCUGCAUCACAACUUUUGGCAUGAUUGUUGUUCUUAAUGUUGAUGUCAUCUCACUUUACUGAUACUAAGCAGAACUGAUCACAGCAUCUUUGAGUUUAUGACCAGACUGCAUCUAGUGGAAGGCAAAUGACCAUGGAACAGGAAAACCUCUUGUUGGCUCCUGUGAGUGCAAUCAAGGACCAGAAAUUUUUUUUCACUGUCCACUCUGAAAUAUACUUUAUUUUGAAAGAGUCUUGCAAUGACCUGCACAGUUUAGAUGUCUCGUAAUUCCUGUUCUUUAUCAGCAAUGAUACAAACCUUAGUUUGCUAAGCAUGAUAUGUGUUGGAAUACAUGAGAAACCUGCGCAAAAAAAAGAAAGAAGGAAAGAAGGAAGGGAAGAAAGAAAGGAAGAAAGAAGGAAGGGAAGAAGGAAAGAAAGAAGGAAGGGAAGAAAGGAAGAAAGAAAGAAAGAAAGAAAGAAAGGAAGAAAGACUCUAUCUUUCACUUUUGUUCACAUUCAUGAACUUAUUUAAGAGAUUAUACUUUCUUCAUUAGAAAACCUCACAUCAGACUGAAACCAUAACAUAUUAAGCUUCUAAAACAUCCAAACCACCUACAACAGAAUGUGUCUAUGUUGACUCAUUACAUUUAUGGAAAAAAAAAAAAAAAAAUCAUCACUGUACACUAACAAAAGGGGCAGUGUAUCUUGAGAAGUGAGUGUAUGACAAACUGACAUAUACAAUAAAUACGGAUCUUACUACAGUAACAGAUUGAAAUUAUAUAGCUCAUUUGAACCUUUUUCCAACUUCAGCUUAGCCUCAGCUAAAGCACACAGGAAAUAAACACAUUGAGCUGUCUGGCACCAAGCAACUCUCCAGGUCCUGUUCUGUCUCGCACUGGGCUAGGCUUAUCCAUCCAAUCAACAUUAGGAGGUUUAUUUAUGUGAGACAGAUAUAUUAGCAAUAAAUGGAUUUAUUCAGUAGCUUGCUGGAUUUAUAUACAUUCACAAAAUCAUUUCAGUUUAAGGAGACUUAAAACUGAGUGACCUACUAUUUGUGCGCUCUGUGUGAUGAAGCCCUUAUGGUUCUACACUGCUCUUCACCAGAAAGGGAAAAUAAAUAAAUAAACAACUAAAAGGGAAAGGGGAAGAACAAAAAAAAAAAGCAACCCAACCCGAAUUGAAGUCAGUGAGAUAUUUACUAGAGUAAUACCUGCAAAAGACUUGGGAGCUGGUGAAAUGUCAGUGGACGCACAGCUGGCUGAACGGCAAAACCAUGGAUUGUGGCAUGCCGAUAUACUUUGUGUGCAACGUUCCACACACACAAGUCCGUUUUAAUUUUUACAAGCCAAGAAUAAGUGGAAGAACUCAGAGAAAUACAUUCAGGAGGGAUGUCUGGCUUUCCUUUCUCCUAUCUAGACGUGCUUGCAAGUCAGGUCUGAACUGUAUUGAAGUGUUUUCAUUGAUUCGUGUCUGUUUCUUAGAAAACAAGACAGAAAGUUCGCGCUAACGCUAUGGAUUGUCCAUUUCAAUCAGAGAGUGAGUGGCACGUUCUCACCUCAUUUGCAAUUUUUAAUUCCAAUUGGACACUGCUUUUGAAACGUCCCUUCUUCUUUUCCCGUUCUGCUGCCACUUGAAAGUUGAAAUGUAGCAAGAACGUAAUGGUAGGUGCCAGCAUGCUGAAUUACAGGGUGACUGCUUUAGCUGAUCCCAAAAAGCAAGUGUCUUUUUAUACCGCAUAAAAGCCUGAAAUGUUUACAUAUCAAAAGGCUAUAGGCCAAUUUCUGUCAAAAUUAUACAUGAAGCUAAGCAGUACAAGCAAUUUAUUUAAACACUAGUCAUUGUAGAAAAAUUCAAAACCAUAUGCUCUUUUAGCAGUUUUUCACAAAUGCAUUUGACCCAUGACUUGGCAAGACAUGCAUGCUUCAUAAUUUACUCUAAAUUUCAAAUUCCCCUGACAUUUAAAUAAAAGAUCUUCAUUAAUAGAGUUUAUAUGAAUGAAAACUUUAGAAGCCGAUAUUGUUAGAGGGAAACUUUAAGGGGGGAAAGGGGAGAUGCGUUUUGAAAACGCUACCUCGUUUUCAAAAUGACUGACUUUCCUAAUCAGUUCAAGAUAAGUUUAUUCUGGGAACAAAUUACCGUAAUUUCUCAUUGUACCGUUGGUUUUUUGCUGUUGUUGUUGUUUUCCCCCGAAGUAAUGAUGCAAAAGCUGGAGAGUGAUGGCAUUCGCACGGGAGGGAUGUGCUGCAAAGCUCCGAGGGGCUCUCGGCGCUGGAGCGGACCCU